CGGGGCGUGGCUCAGCUUGGCUAGAGCGCUUGGUUUGGGACCAAGAUGUCGGUGGUUCGAAUCCACUCGCCCCGACCA
rnacentral:tRNA from 1 species